rnacentral:rRNA from 1 species
AACGAACGCUGGCGGCAUGCCUAACACAUGCAAGUCGAACGAACCCUUCGGGGUUAGUGGCGCACGGGUGCGUGACGCGUGGGAAUCUGCCCUUUGCUUCGGAAUAACAGUUAGAAAUGACUGCUAAUACCGGAUGAUGUCUUCGGACCAAAGAUUUAUCGGCAAGGGAUGAGCCCGCGUAGGAUUAGGUAGUUGGUGGGGUAAAGGCCUACCAAGCCGACGAUCCUUAGCUGGUCUGAGAGGAUGAUCAGCCACACUGGGACUGAGACACGGCCCAGACUCCUACGGGAGGCAGCAGUGGGGAAUAUUGGACAAUGGGCGCAAGCCUGAUCCAGCAAUGCCGCGUGAGUGAUGAAGGCCUUCGGGUCGUAAAGCUCUUUUACCAGGGAUGGUAAUGACAGUACCUGGAGAAUAAGCUCCGGCUAACUCCGUGCCAGCCGCCGCGGUAACAC